rnacentral:rRNA from 1 species
CCAAUAGCGUAUAUUAAAGUUGUUGCAGUUAAAAAGCUCGUAGUUGAAUUUUGGGUCUGGGCGGGCGGUCCACCUUCCGGUGAGCACUGUUCCGACGCCGGGCCUAUCCUUCUGGUGAGUCGGCAUGCCCUUCGCUGGGUGUGUCGGGGAACCAGGACCAUUACCUUGAAAAAAUUAGAGUGUUCAAAGCAGGCAUUUGCUCGAAUACAUUAGCAUGGAAUAAUGAAAUAGGACGCGUGGUACUAUUUUGUUGGUUUCUAGGACCGCCGUAAUGAUUAAUAGGGAUAGUUGGGGGCAUUAGUAUUCAAUUGUCAGAGGUGAAAUUCUUGGAUUUAUUGAAGACUAACUUCUGCGAAAGCAUUUGCCAAGGAUGUUUUCAUUAAUCAAGAACGAAAGUUAGGGGAUCGAAGACGAUCAGAUACCGUCGUAGUCUUAACCAUAAACUAUGCCGACUAGGAAUCGGGCGAUGUUAUUUUAACGACUCGCCCGGCGCCUUAUG